GGAGGGUGCAAGCGUUAUCCGGAUUCACUGGGUUUAAAGGGUGCGUAGGCGGGCAGGUAAGUCAGUGGUGAAAUCCUAGAGCUUAACUCUAGAACUGCCAUUGAUACUAUCUGUCUUGAAUAUUGUGGAGGUAAGCGGAAUAUGUCAUGUAGUGGUGAAAUGCGUAGAUAUCAGGAGGAACACCGGUGGUGUAGACGGCUUUCUGGACCGUAACUGACGCUGAGACACGAAAGCGUGGGUAGCAAACAGGAUUAGAUACCCUGGUAGUCCACGCCCUAAACGAUGCAUAUUUGGUGUGGGCAGUUCAUUCUGUCCGUGCCGGAGCUAACGCGUUAAAUAUGCCGCCUGGGGAGUACAGUCGCAAGGCUG
rnacentral:rRNA from 1 species